UACGUAGGCAGCAAGCGCUGGUCGGAAUUACUGGGCGUAAAGAGGGUGUAGGCGGUGCUGCAAGUCUGGUGUGAAAUCUCCCGGCUUAACUGGGAGGGUGCAUUAGAAACUGGAAUGCUAGAGGAUGGGAGAGGUAAGCGGAAUUCCUGGUGUAGCGGUGAAAUGCGUAGAUAUCAGGAGGAACACCUGUGGUGUAGACAGCUUACUGGACCAUUUCUGACGCUGAGACACGAAAGCGUGGGUAGCAAACAGG
rnacentral:rRNA from 1 species